AUGCAAGGCCUCGCAGUAACUUCCAAGCUGUCACUGGCCGUCGUGGUCGUGGUGUUUCUGCUGGGCUCCGCAGGCGCUGUCCACGGCCUGAGGAGGGUCGUCUCCAGCAGCUCCGACGAGCCGUGCAACGAGAUGACGCUCUACUACCACGACAUCCUCUACAACGGCGUCAACAACACGAAGAACGCGACGUCGGCGGCGGCCACAAAGCCCACGGCGCUGAGCACGACCCACUGGAAGAACGGCACCUACUUCGGCACGCUCGUGGUGUUCAACGACCCCAUGACGGUGGGGAAGGCGCUACCCGUGGCAGGGGAGGAGCCUGCGGCGCGCGCCCAGGAGUUUUACUUCUACGACAAGCAGGAGUCAUACACCUCCUGGUUUGGCUUCUCCAUCGUCUUCAACUCCACGGCGCACAAGGGCACCCUCAACCUCGUCGGUGCGGACCUCAUGGAUGACAAGACGCGGGACCUCUCUGUCGUCGGCGGCACCGGCGACUUCUUCAUGGCGCGGGGCAUCGCCACCCUCCGCCUCGAUGCCUCCGAGGGAACCGUCUACUUCCGUCUACAGAUGGACAUCAAGCUCUACGAGUGCUACGUAUGA
rnacentral:rRNA from 1 species